AAAAAAGAAUGCAAGAACUGCUAAUUCAUGCCUCCGCACUUAAAAAUGCGGCUUUUUUA
rnacentral:tRNA from 1 species